rnacentral:rRNA from 1 species
GACGAACGCUGGCGGCGUGCUUAACACAUGCAAGUCGAACGAAGUGGCGAACGGGUGAGUAACGCGUAAUCAACCUGCCCUUCAGGGGGGGAACACAGUUGGAAACGACUGCUAAUCCCGCAUACUGAAGGAGGGGAUUGCGUUGGAUUAGCUAGUUGGAGGGGUAACGGCCACCCAAGGCGAUGAUCAGUAGCCGGGCUGAGAGGAUGAACGGCCAAAUUGGGACUGAGACACGGCCCAGACUCCUACGGGAGGCAGCAGUGGGGAAUCUUCGGCAAUGGACGGAAGUCUGACGGAGCAACGCCGCGUGAGUGAUGACGGCCUUCGGGUUGUAAAGCUCUGUUAAUCGGGACGCGGUACCGGAAUAGAAAGCCACGGCUAACUACGUGCCAGCAGCCGCGGUAAUAC